CAGUCCCUUAUGCAGUUUUCGGCUGGUUCUGGUUCACUUAUGCGAAACUGCAUGACUUGGUGCAUAGGUUAUGCACAAUUCCGUGAGAGUGCAUAAGGGAGGCGUGAAUGUGCAUAAGCUAUGCAGUCUCCUUAUGCACAUUUCGGCAGGUAUUAGAACAGUGAUUUUUCUCCUUAUGCAGAUCUGCAUAGCUUAUGCGGCAAGUUAUGCACAAUUUGGUCAAUGCAUAUUUCAGCUUGAAAACUUGUUUUUGACAUCUUUGGCUGUAGAAGUCACUCCUCAAUGGCAAAAUUUCUCUUCAGUCCUUCAAAAACACCAUUUUUCCUACAAAACAAAGUAAAAAUUACAAAUUAAUCCAAAAUCGACAAUUAUGAAAAACUAACUAAUUUACUAAUGAAAUUAGCUAAAAAUAACUAAUAAUAGAAUAAAAUGGCUAUGAAAUUAGACCUAAAUGACUAUGCAAAAUGUAUGCAUCAUUGAUCACAGUUAACCCCACCCCAUCAAGCUGAUGAUUUUAAGUGGAAACACUACUAUGCAAACAUCUUUAGCAGGUUGGCUCAAUAUAUCUGUAGUCCUUGGACCUUGAGCUUGCCUUUUCUUUCUUGGUGACGCAUAUACCCUUCUUCCUUCUCAUUGUAGGAAUUUGAAAGAGAAGUUCAAGAUAGAUGCCAUUGACUAUGUGACGUCCAUUUGUGGAAAUGGUUCUCUUAGGGAACUUUUCUCUCCUGGAAGAAGUGGUAGCAUCUUUUUCCUGUCUCAAGAUGAUUACUUUAUGAUUAAGACGCUCCAGAAAUCUGAAGUGAAGUUUGUUAGAAGACAUAUUGACUGUCAAACAUGUCUUCCUCAUUUACCUCCUUUCUCUCUCUCUCUCUCUCUCUUGAGAGGGUGAAAUUAUGAAGGAAACUUUUAAGCUGGAGCUUGGUAAAAUAACUCCAUAGAUACCUUACAUGCACUGGUAAAAUACAUAAUUGAUAGUCAAGAUGGCAUUUUUACUAAACAUAUGUACGACACCAAUACCAGUUGUAUUGUUUGAAUAUGUUAAACAAGUCAUAUGUCUCCUGACAGAAAGUUUGCCCUCAAUUUCCACCUCCAAAUGGUGUCAAGCUGUGACCUUUUGUUGCAAA